rnacentral:rRNA from 1 species
AUUGAACGCUGGCGGCAUGCCUUACACAUGCAAGUCGAACGGCAGCACGGGAGCAAUCCUGGUGGCGAGUGGCGAACGGGUGAGUAAUAUAUCGGAACGUGCCCAGUCGUGGGGAUAACGUAGCGAAAGCUACGCUAAUACCGCAUACGAUCUAUGGAUGAAAGCGGGGGAUCGCAAGACCUCGCGCGAUUGGAGCGGCCGAUAUCAGAUUAGGUAGUUGGUGAGGUAAAGGACUCACCAAGCCGACGAUCUGUAGCUGGUCUGAGAGGACGACCAGCCACACUGGGACUGAGACACGGCCCAGACUCCUACGGGAGGCAGCAGUGGGGAAUUUUGGGACAAUGGGCGCAAGCCUGAUCCAGCCAUGCCGCGUGUGUGAAGAAGGCCUCGGUGUAAG